rnacentral:rRNA from 1 species
GUGUCAGCAGCCGCGGUAAUACGGAGGGGGCUAGCGUUGUUCGGAAUUACUGGGCGUAAAGCGCGCGUAGGCGGUGUGCAUAGUCAGGGGUGAAAUCCCGGGGCUCAACCUCGGAAUUGCCUUUGAUACUGGCGCACUUGAAUCCGUGAGAGGGUGGUGGAAUGACCAGUGUAGAGGUGAAAUUCGUAGAUAUUGGUCGGAACACCAGUGGCGAAGGCGGCCACCUGGCGCGGUAUUGACGCUGAGGCGCGAAAGCGUGGGGAGCAAACAGGAUUAGAUACCCUGGUAGUCCACGCCGUAAACGAUGAGUGCUAGCUGUUGGCCUGCUUGCAGGUCAGUGGCGCAGCUAACGCAUUAAGCACUCCGCCUGGGGAGUACGGCCGCAAGGUUAAAACUUAAAUGAAUUGGCGGGG